CCCCGACCCCUCCCCCUCCACCGAGGUCGCCGGUACCCAUAGAGGACUCCGGCGACCUCGGUGGAGGGGUCGGGGUAGCCGA
rnacentral:pre_miRNA from 1 species